rnacentral:rRNA from 1 species
GAUGAACGCUAGCGGGAGGCUUAACACAUGCAAGUCGAGCGGUAGGGCAGCAAUGCCUGAGAGCGGCGCACGGGUGCGUAACGCGUAUGCAACCUGCCUUAUACAGGGGAAUAGCCCAUGGAAACGUGGAUUAAUGUCCCAUAGGAUUACGGAUUCGCAUGGAUUUGUGAUUAAAACUGAGGUGGUGUAAGAUGGGCAUGCGUCUGAUUAGGUAGUUGGUAGGGUAAUGGCCUACCAAGCCGACGAUCAGUAGGGGUUCUGAGAGGAUACCCCCCACACAGGUACUGAGACACGGACCAGACUCCUACGGGAGGCAGCAGUGAGGAAUAUUGGUCAAUGGCCGGAAGGCUGAACCAGCCAUCCCGCGUGCAGGAUGACGGCCCUAUGGGUUGUAAACUGCUUUUGUACCUGAAGAAACCUGUUUACGAGUAGACAGUUGCCGGUAAGGUAUGAAUAAGCAUCGGCUAACUCCGUGCCAGCAGCCGCCGUAACAC